rnacentral:snRNA from 1 species
AGCUUUGCGCAGUGACAGUAUUGUAGUCAAUGAGGUUUUAGUGAUUAUUGCUAAUUGAAA